GAUGAAGAACGUAGCGAAAUGCGAUAAGUAGUGUGAAUUGCAGAAUUCAGUGAAUCAUCGAAUCUUUGAACGCACAUUGCGCCCCAUGGUAUUCCGUGGGGCAUGCCUGUUCGAGCGUCAUUUACCCCCUCAAGCUCCGCUUGGUGUUGGGCGUCUGUCCCGCUUCGCGCGCGGACUCGCCCCAAAGGUAUUGGCAGCGGUCGUGCCAGCUUCUCGCGCAGCACAUUGCGCUUCUCGAGGCACCGGUGGGCCCGCGUCCAUCAAGCUCACCCCCCCAGUUUGACCUCGGAUCAGGUAGGGAUACCCGCUGAACUUAAGCAUAUCAAUAAGCGGAGGGA
rnacentral:misc_RNA from 1 species